GGGAGACAGGUGGUGCAUGGUUGUCGUCAGCUCGUGUCGUGAGAUGUUGGGUUAAGUCCCCGCAACCGAGCGCAACCCUACGUUUAGUUGCUAACGCGUGAAGGCGAGCACUCUAGACGAACUGCCGGUGACAAGCCGGAGGAAGGUGGGGAUGACGUCAAGUCCUCAUGGCCCUUAUAGGUGGGGCUACACACGUCAUACAAUGGCUGGUACAAAGGGUUGCCAACCCGCGAGGGGGAGCCAAUCCCAUAAAGCCAGUCGUAGUCCGGAUCGUAGUCUGCAACUCGACUACGUGAAGUCGGAAUCGCUAGUAAUCGUGGAUCAGAAUGUCACGGUGAAUACGUUCCCGGGUCUU
rnacentral:rRNA from 1 species